rnacentral:rRNA from 1 species
AGUUUGGAUCCUGGCUCAGGAUGAACGCUAGCGGCAGGCCUAACACAUGCAAGUCGAACGGUAACAGGGAUUAGCUUGCUAAUUUGCUGACGAGUGGCGCACGGGUGCGUAACGCGUAUACAAUCUACCUUUUACAGGGGGAUAGCCUUUAGAAAUGAAGAUUAAUACCCCAUAGUAUAUAGAUUUGGCAUCGGAUUUAUAUUAAAGAUUUAUCGGUAAAAGAUGAGUAUGCGUCCUAUUAGUUAGUUGGUGUGGUAACGGCACACCAAGACAGCGAUAGGUAGGGGCCCUGAGAGGGGGAUCCCCCACACUGGUACUGAGACACGGACCAGACUCCUACGGGAGGCAGCAGUGAGGAAUAUUGGACAAUGGGCGCGAGCCUGAUCCAGCCAUGCCGCGUGCAGGAAGACUGCCCUAUGGGUUGUAAACUGCUUUUGUACAGGAAGAACCCCCCGAACGUGUUCGGGGCUGACGGUACUGUAAGAAUAAGGAUCGGCUAACUCCGUGCCAGCAGCCGCGGUAAUACGGAGGAUCCAAGCGUUAUCCGGAAUCAUUGGGUUUAAAGGGUCCGUAGGUGGAUAAUUAAGUCAGAGGUGAAAUCCUGCAGCUCAACUGUAGAAUUGCCUUUGAUACUGGUUAUCUUGAAUCAUUGUGAAGUAGUUAGAAUAUGUAGUGUAGCGGUGAAAUGCAUAGAUAUUACAUAGAAUACCGAUUGCGAAGGCAGAUUACUAACAAUGUAUUGACACUGAUGGACGAAAGCGUGGGGAGCGAACAGGAUUAGAUACCCUGGUAGUCCACGCCGUAAACGAUGGUCACUAGCUGUUCGAACUUCGGUUUGAGUGGCUAAGCGAAAGUGAUAAGUGACCCCCCCU